CAGACCAAUCACUAUGGUAGCCAUAUAUUUAUGAAAUGUAUUUCCUGAACCAUAAAACAAGAACAUCAAAAUUACUCUAUGACCCAUGGGAAACAGAAUGCACGUUGUAUUAGCAGGCACGGAAACAGCAGUAAUCUGUUUCAGCCUCUCUAUAAGAAAGCUAUCAGAUUAGGUACAUUGCCAAAAGGCAGUCCUGUUGGGAAAAAGCCCCCCAAAAUCUGGCCAUAAACUGGCCCCAAAACUUGCCAUAAACAAAAUCUCUGCAGCACUGUGACAUGUUCAUGAUGGCCAUAACGCCCACACUGGAGGGUCGUGGGUUUAGGGGA
rnacentral:lncRNA from 10 species